GGGCGUGUGGCUCAGUUGGUAGAGCGUUCGCUUAGCAUACUACAGUGUAUGCGAAAGGUCCUGGGUUCGAUUCCCAGCUCGUCCA
rnacentral:tRNA from 1 species